AUUGAACGCUGGCGGCAGGCCUAACACAUGCAAGUCGAGCGGAUGAAGGGAGCUUGCUCCUGGAUUCAGCGGCGGACGGGUGAGUAAUGCCUAGGAAUCUGCCUGGUAGUGGGGGAUAACGUCCGGAAACGGGCGCUAAUACCGCAUACGUCCUGAGGGAGAAAGUGGGGGAUCUUCGGACCUCACGCUAUCAGAUGAGCCUAGGUCGGAUUAGCUAGUUGGUGGGGUAAAGGCCUACCAAGGCGACGAUCCGUAACUGGUCUGAGAGGAUGAUCAGUCACACUGGAACUGAGACACGGUCCAGACUCCUACGGGAGGAAGCAGUGGGGAAUAUUGGACAAUGGGCGAAAGCCUGAUCCUGCCAUGCCGCGUGUGUGAAGAAGGUCUUCGGAUUGUAAAGCACUUUAAGUUGGGAGGAAGGGCAGUAAGUUAAUACCUUGCUGUUUUGACGUUACCAACAGAAUAAGCACCGGCUAACUUCGUG
rnacentral:rRNA from 1 species